CCUACGGGAGGCAGCAGUGAGGAAUAUUGGUCAAUGGACGAGAGUCUGAACCAGCCAAGUAGCGUGAAGGAUGACUGCCCUAUGGGUUGUAAACUUCUUUUAUAUGGGAAUAAAAUGUUCCACGUGUGGGAUUUUGUAUGUACCAUAUGAAUAAGGAUCGGCUAACUCCGUGCCAGCAGCCGCGGUAAUACGGCGGAUCCGAGCGUUAUCCGGAUUUAUUGGGUUUAAAGGGAGCGUAGGUGGAUUGUUAAGUCAGUUGUGAAAGUUUGCGGCUCAACCGUAAAAUUGCAGUUGAAACUGGCAGUCGUGAGUACAGUAGAGGUGGGCGGAAUGCGUGGUGUAGCGGUGAAAUGCUUAGAUAUCACGAAGAACUCCGAUUGCGAAGGCAGCUCACUGGACUGCAACUGACACUGAGGCUCGAAAGUGUGGGUAUCAAACAGGAUUAGAUACCCGAGUAGUC
rnacentral:rRNA from 1 species